CUCCAUGCCUCCUCUCAUUAUUUUCUUCCUUUCCAUGCCCAAAAGUUGGGUGCUCUCUCUUUCACACGCCUAGAAAAAAUUUUGGUGACUUAGAGAUCAAGGAUCGAGGAGAAGAAGAAGAAGACUAUAGAUCAAGGAGUUGAUCUCAUAGUUAAGAUCAAAAGAGUUGAUCAAAGUCUUCAAGGUCAAGAUUCUUCUUGAAAAGAAAAAUCUCAUACUAGAAGAAAAAGUUUGAGAUCGAUCCCAGUGGACAUUCGUAGAGGCCGGAUACAUGUGUGGCUUAACCUUCUAUGAAUCCGAGAUCAUCAAUAGUGGUGAAUUUUUCUCCGCAUUAAGGUAAUGAGAUCUGAUCUUAUAAGAUUUUUCUAAAUUUUAGAUUG
rnacentral:lncRNA from 1 species